rnacentral:rRNA from 1 species
GAAUUCGAUUCAGGCCUAACACAAACAAGUCGUACGGGAGUUUUUAACUCUAGUGGCGGACGGGUGAGUAACACGUGAGAAUUUGCCUUUAGGAGGGGGAUAACAAUUGGAAACGAAUGCUAAUACCCCAUAUGCUUUUGAGUGAAAUGGAUUUUAUCCGCCUAGAGAGAAGCUCGCGGCUGAUUAGCUUGUUGGUAAGGUAAGAGCUUACCAAGGCGACGAUCAGUAUCUGGUUUGAGAGGACGGUCAGACACACUGGAACUGAGACACGGUCCAGACUCCUACGGGAGGCAGCAGUGGGGAAUUUUCC